ensembl:lncRNA
GUGAGCCUUGUUCACGGAAACUUGGUCUCCCCAUGUCGCUCUCUCUCUCACCCUGGCUGAGUCUCCAUCUGGAGUACGGAACCCGCCAUGCUUACUAAUUAUGCCUGGGCUUCUAAGAUCCGACCGGGGAGGCCUCAGCAUCUCCUCUCCUUCGGGAGAACGGAAGGAUGCCUGCGGCCUAUGGGACUGUUUCAUGCCCUGUCAGGCUAGAAUUUUCCAAGUGAGGUGGUUCAUGGAAGGACCUGUGGAUUCCACGUCAUGCACACCUUGUCACACUUCAUUUACCAUAAAGUGGGAUCCUUGAUUCAGUAGUCAUGUAUGGUUGAGAGAAUUGGACCAUAAAGAAGGCUAAGCCUCGAAGAAUUGAUGCUUUCAAGCUGUGGUGUUGGAGAAGACUCUUUGAGAGUCCCUUGGACUGCAAGGUGAUCAAACCAGUCCAUCCUAAAGGAAAUCAGUCCUGAAUAUUCAUUGGAAGAACUGAUGCUGAAGCUGAAGCUCCCAUACUUUGGCCACCUGAUAUGAAGAGCUGAAUCAUUGGAAAAGACCCUGAUGCUGGGAAAGAUUGAAGGCAGAAGGAGAAGGGAACGACAAAGGAUGAGAUGGUCGGGUGGCAUCACCAACUCGAUGGACAUGACUUUGAGCAAGCUCCAGGAACUUGUGAAGGACAGGGAGGCUUAGCGGCUGCAGUCCAAGCAGUCGCAAAGAGAUGGACACAACUGAGCAACUAAACAACAACACUUUUUUAAAAUGCAAAACAAGUUCUGAGUUCAGAAAUAUGUCUGACCCAAGGGACUGGGAUAGGAGUGUCUACUUUUUACUGCGACUUUACCUCCUGCCGUUUGUACUUGCUAUUCCUUCUGUAGGAAAUGCUCUUCCCAUUCCUUUCUUAUCUGGCUCCUUUUCUUCCUUCUGGUUUCGACUUAAAUUUCUCCUCCCCAGAGACGCCUUCCCUAUUGCUAUUGGUUCUUGCUGUCAUUCCCUAUUAAGCAUGCUGUUUUGUCCUUCAAAGCAAUUAUGUCAAUAUAUAAUUAUUAUCUUAAAGCAAACAUGCUCAGUUGUAUCUGACUCUUUGUGACCCCAUGGACUAUAGCCUACAAGACUCCUCUGUCCAUGCAAUUAUCCAUGCAAGAAUACUGAAGUUGGUUGCCAUUUCCUCAUCCAGGGGAUCUUCCUAACCCAGGGACCAAACCUACAUCUCUUGCAUCUCCUGUGUUGGCAGGUGGAUUCUUUACCACUAUGCCAUCUGGGAAGCCCAAUUUUCACAUUAGUUUUUAUUUAUUGUCUAUCUCUCCCUCCAGACACUAAACUUCACUAACUCAAGGACUUUUUACCUUUAUUCGUUUUUAUAUGUCCAGCUCUUAGCACAAUACCUGGCACAUUGUAGGGGCUCAAUGCAGGGGCUCACAUUUGCUGAAUUGAAUAAAUGAAUCAAUCAGACAGUUAGUCCAUUCAGAAAUGCUGACACUGGAAUGGGACUCAAAGACCUCAUCUGCUAGUUAAGCAAAGCUGAUACAAUAAGGU